ensembl:misc_RNA Metazoa_SRP Metazoan signal recognition particle RNA
GCCGGGUGUGGUGGCAUGUACCUGUAGUCCCAGCUACUCGGGAGGCUGAGAUGGGAGGGUCACUUGAGCCCAGGAGGUCAAGGCUGCAGUGAGCUAUGACUGCACCACUGCACCCCAGCCUGGGUGACACAGUGAGACCCUGUCUCAU